GCCAGUUGCGGAAGCACGUUGAAUGCACCAGUUCCCUGUGGCCUGUGGAUCAUUGACGUUAAGCAACGUUUCGUGUGGUUAAUAUCCGGAUAGGUGACCAUCUGGGCAAUCGCGUGCCGCUUUCU
rnacentral:rRNA from 1 species